GGCUCUAUAGUGUAGUAGAUAGCACAUCUGCUUUACAUGCAGAAGGUCCUGGGUUCGCACCCAAGGUGGAGCCA
rnacentral:tRNA from 1 species